UGAGAGUGACGGUACCUGAGAAGAAAGCCCCGGCUAACUACGUGCCAGCAGCCGCGGUAAUACGUAGGGGGCAAGCGUUGUCCGGAAUUAUUGGGCGUAAAGCGCGCGCAGGCGGUUCUUUAAGUCUGGUGUUUAAACCCGAGGCUCAACUUCGGGACGCACUGGAAACUGGGGAACUUGAGUGCAGAAGAGGAGAGUGGAAUUCCACGUGUAGCGGUGAAAUGCGUAGAUAUGUGGAGGAACACCAGUGGCGAAGGCGACUCUCUGGGCUGUAACUGACGCUGAGGCGCGAAAGCGUGGGGAGCGAACAGGAUUAGAUACCCUGGUAGUCCACGCCGUAAACGAUGAAUGCUAGGUGUUAGGGGUUUCGAUACCCUUGGUGCCGAAGUUAACACAUUAAGCAUUCCGCCUGGGGAGUACGGUCGCAAGACUGAAACUCAAAGGAAUUGACGGGGNACCCGCACAAGCAGUGGAGUAUGUGGUUUAAUUCGAAGCAACGCGAAGAACCUUACC
rnacentral:rRNA from 1 species